UAAGGAUGAGGGAGGAGUAAGGAGGAGGGAGGAGGAGUAAGGAUGAGUGAGGAGGAGUAAGGAUGAGGGAGGAGGAGUAAGGAGGAGUCAGGAUGGGUAAGGAUGAGGGAGGAGUAAGGAGUAAGGAUGAGGGAGGAGUAAGGAUGAGGGAGGAGUAAGGAGAGAACUUCCCCCAGGAUCCAUGAUCCCCCCCCCCCUCCAAUAUACAACUUGUGGAUGCACAGAUAAUUGAAAGCAGUCUUUAUUGCAUAGCAGUCUCAAGCCAUGCACAAUAAUAAAAAAAACACUUAAUGCAAACGACACAGGUUGUACUCUAGGUAUUGUUAUGACGUGACAAAGAGCAUUGCAAAACUUUAAAAAAUGCAAAACGGAUCAUUACAGUAAUGUGAAAGAACACUUUAAAAGAAUACAAAUAAUGUUUUAUUAUUUUGAGCGAUAGCAACUAACUAGCAUCUACAAUACCAACAUUUCAAGAGAAACCAAUAGUAUAGAGAGCUUUACACAUUGGUGUGCAACUGAGGGAAUGAACUAGCAGCUUUGGGACUCACCACACAGAGUUUGAAAUUGAAUGGAAAGAACAGAAAACAGAACAGAAGUCAGUACCCAGUGUCUGUAUUUCUCUAAGAGUUCACUGGUUAAGUUAGAGCUCGGUAAGAUUUAAUACUAGUCUCGCCAGACCAGAGAUUAUUCUUCAUUUAAUGUCACAGUCUGGAGGCUACUGAAAACAUGGACGAGAAGAUUUAAUGUCAUAAACAUGGACGAGACCUCUGCAGUAAACAAAUACAAAAAGACAAACAAACAAACACCUCCCAUAACUUACAGACAGUCUUCCCUUGAGUCUCACUUUCAGGGAUCAUCUGGGCCGAUUUGGAUCAGUAAUUAAUACUAUAAUUAAUACUAUAAUCAUUCCCAUCCCCCAUUCAGUCCAUAUUUCAACAUGGUGCUCCCCCGGACAGAUAUAAAAUAUAGUAAGUCUGGCUCCAAGAGACUAAUUAAAUCCCUCUGAAUCGAUCAGAAUGGACAUACAUGAAAUUAGAAUAAUAAAUGAUUAAAUUCUUAAAGGAGCA
rnacentral:lncRNA from 1 species